GACGAACGCUGGCGGCGCGCCUAAUACAUGCAAGUCGAGCGGACCGAACAGGAGCUUGCUCUUGUUCGGUUAGCGGCGGACGGGUGAGUAACACGUGGGUAACCUGCCCGUAAGACCGGGAUAACUCCGGGAAACCGGAGCUAAUACCGGAUAACACCGAAGACCGCAUGGUCUUUGGUUGAAAGGCGGCUUCGGCUGCCACUUACGGAUGGGCCCGCGGCGCAUUAGCUAGUUGGUGAGGUAACGGCUCACCAAGGCGACGAUGCGUAGCCGGCCUGAGAGGGUGACCGGCCACACUGGGACUGAGACACGGCCCAGACUCCUACGGGAGGCAGCAGUAGGGAAUCUUCCGCAAUGGACGAAAGUCUGACGGAGCGACGCCGCGUGAGCGAAGAAGGUCUUCGGAUCGUAAAGCUCUGUUGUUAGGGAAGAAGAAGCGUCGUUCGAACAGGGCGGCGCGGUGACGGUACCUAACGAGAAAGCCCCGGCUAACUACGUG
rnacentral:rRNA from 1 species